rnacentral:lncRNA from 1 species
GGAGGCAUCUCUUCCGUGCAGGCAGGCUCUCCUGGGGACCUCAGAGAUUCUCUCCAGCGGCAGCAGAAAACGGGCAAUGGGUGGAUUCGGGUCCAGAUUCUGGCAGGAGGGAGUUUGGGAUCGAGAUCUGGAAAAAAGCACUAGACUGGAAGAGGACGCGAUGGAGUCGGAGCCGCUGGCGGGUACAAAAACCAGAGGCCGGGGAAGGCGCCGGUGGGAGGCAAGGCACGGAUGGACUUUACCUGCGCACGCGUCGCAGCCAUCUCCGCGCACAGUGGUGGCCACCGCGACUGGUGCUGAAGUGUCGGCGUGUGCCGGGCGCUCCGCUGGGACCCGGGUUGCUCGCCCUGAGUCUCAGCUUUCUCAUCUGUACGGUUGGGACAAGUACAGUAACCCUCGCCCGUCAAGACGGGCCAGGGCUGUGGCGAGGGUCCACGCCUUAGAGCAGGCACCUAUCUUGUGCAGGGCCCUGAGAUGGGGUCUGACUCAGUUCCUGCGGGGAACUUCACCAGUGACCCAGUCAGUGCCCUUCAGUUAAAGACCACCAGGAGCACACUUAUAUCAUGGAAAUCAGGACAGUGGCAGUUCGGAUUGUGGCAAUCAAAGGGGUGGAAAGUGAAUUCUAUCUUGCAAUGAACGAGGAAGGAAAACUCUAUGCAAAGAAAGAAUGCAAUGAAGAUUGUAACUUCAAAGAACUAAUUCUGGAAAACCAUUACAACACAUAUGCAGCAGCUAAAUGGACACACAAUGGAGGGGAAAUGUUUGUUGCCUUAAAUCAAAAGGGGAUUCCUGUAAGAGGAAAAAAAACGAAGAAAGAACAAAAAACAGCCCACUUUCUUCCUAUGGCAAUAACUUAAUUGCAUAUGGUAUAUAAAGAACCAGUUCCAGUAGGGAGAUUUCUUUAAGUGGACUGUUUUCUUUCUUCUCAAAAUUUUCUUUCCUUUUAUUUUUUAGUAAUCAAGAAAGGCUGGAAAACUACUGAAAAACUGAUCAAGCUUGACUUGUGCAUUUAUGUUUGUUUUAAGACACUGCAUUAAAGAAAGAUUUGAAAAGUAUACACAAAAAUCAGAUUUAGUAACUAAAGGUUGUACAAAAUUGUAAAACUGGUUGUACAAUCAUGAUGUUAGUAAUAGUAAUUUUUUUCUUAAAUUAAUUUACCCUUAAGAGUAUGUUAGAUUUGAUUAUCUGAUAAUGAUUAUUUAAAUAUUCCUAUCUGCUUAUAAAAUGGCUGCUAUAAUAAUAAUAAUGCAGAUGAUGUUAUAUAAGGUGUAUCAGACCUACAGGCUGCUGGCAGGAUUUGUCAGAUAAUCAAGCCACACUAACUAUAGAAAAUGAGCAGCAUUUUAAAUGCUUUCUAGUGAAAAAUUAUAAUCUACUUAAACUCUAAUCAGAAAAAAAGAAUAUUCUCAAAAAAAUCUAUUACGAAAGUCAAUAAAAUAGAUAAUUUAACAAAAGUACAGGAUUAGAACAUGCUUAUACCUAUUAACAAGAACAAAAUUUCUAAUGCUGCUCAAGUGGAAAGGGUAUUGCUAAAAGGAUGUUUCCAAAAAUCUUGUAUAUAAGAUAGCAACAGUGAUUGAUGAUAAUACUGUACUUCAUCUUACUUGCCACAAAAUAACAUUUUAUAAUUUCUCAAAGUAAAAUUGAGAAAUCUUUAAGUUUUUUUCAAGUAACAUAAUCUAUCUUUGUAUAAUUCGUAUUUGGGAAUAUGGCUUUUAAUAAUGUUCUUCCCACAAAUAAUCAUGCUUUUUUCCUAUGGUUACAGCAUUAAACUAUAUUUUAAGUUGUUUUUGAACUUUAUUAUUUUGUUAUUUAAGUUUAUUUUAUUUAUUAAAAAAACCUUAAUAAGCUGUAUCUGUUUCAUAUGCUUUUAAUUUUAAAGGAAUAACAAAACUGUCUGGCUCAACUGCAAGUUUCCCUCCCCUCUGUGACCGAGACUAAGUCUAGCACACAGCACUUGGGCCAGCAAAUCCUGGAAGGCAGACAAAAAUGAGAACCUGAAGCAAUGCUUACAGUAGAUGUCUCACACAGAACAAUACAAACAUGUAAAAAAUCUUUCACCACAUAUUCUUGCCAAUUAAUUGGAUCAUAUAAGUAAAAUCAUUACAAAUAUAA